CGCGUUGCGGCCGCUCGUAGAUCCGCUUUCAAAUCGUUCUGUAUUUGUUACCGUAAACCACACUAAGUGUUUAACAUAGUAUAUAUAUCGUGUGCAAUUGUUAUUUUACAUUGAUAUCGUGAUUUCGGUGCCUGUAAUCCGUUUAAUGUAUCCGUAAUUGAUCGUGCCGCGAGUGACCGCGAAACCGCGAAAUCGCGUUUGAAUCGCUCCGUGUGAAUCGCUUUCGUGAAUAUCAUUGUCUGAAAUCUGAAUCCCGUGUGCGAAGAAUAAUCGCGUGUGAUAUUAAGGAAGUAUAGGACUUUCUUCCUAAUGCUAUAAACAUCAGUGCUGUAAACAGCCGUUAUUCCGAUGCCGCUUCUGUAUUAGAAGUUCGCCGAAAUUAUUCUCGAUUGUUUUCCUAGAAAUGCAGCGCAUGUGUGAGUGGUCUCAUCUACAUCGCCAGAAUCCUCGAGGCAUCCUCUAACGUGGAGCGUCGAAGGAGGUGAUGGAGGAGACUGCGGUAGGAAUCGUUGCGAUUAUUAUUGCACAUUGAAACAGGUUCAAAAGUAUGUAUUGCGGUGUUUAUAAUGCAGUGAUCCGAAUAUCAAAUGAAAACGAUGCAGCGGGUAAUGCAAUUAAACGAACAACGAAAUCGGAUCUUCGGGGCGUCUGAGACGUGGAAGAGAGAUUGCAGUUAAAGGUGACUGAUCGCUUAAUAUCGUGACAAGAUAAUAUUUCGCUGUUCCGUCAUCAAGCGGCUUUAUCGCAGUAGGCUUAAGUAUCCUCACCGUAGUAUCCUGCGAGACCAUAAACUCACCCGGGAAUCGAGAGAUUGAGGAUAUUUCAAAAUGUGUUUUCUGAUGCGUGACCACCGCCUACGUCAACUGUCGCGAACGAACACGGAGAGAAUGACUUGCAUCGGUCUGUUCGUAGAGUAGCUGCUGAAGAUGCCAUUUGAUAGCAACCUGGUGGAGGCUCGCUGGCAUUCAUCAUCGUAGGUCCUAUCUGCAUACAGAUCUGAACAAGCUGACGGAAAGAGCGUAUGACAUAGCUGGAUCAUCAGCAAGCCAACCAUAAAUGAAAAAGAGUGACAGUGAAUAAUGCUAAUGGCGAUCAUGACAGCUAGCACGACAACCAGUACAAAAAACAAUCUUAACUUGAUGAUUGAAACAAUCUAUAAUAUGAAAAUGAAAUAAUAUAUCUCUGACGUGUGAUUAUUCGUUUCAUGUUCAUAAAAUUAUAAAUAUGUUUAUAAAUUUACGUUUUAUAGGAGAUGCAAUGUUACAUUUUUUAAAUUUAUUAAGCACGUAUUUGAAUGUAUUUGGUAUAUUUUGCUUAUGUGUAAUCUAUCUUGAAGUUUAUAAACAGUACUUAUAAUUUUAUAAAGUAAAACAGUUUUGUGAACUUACAAUCGAGUUUUCGGUAGAGACAAAAUUUAUCUUAUCGACAAUAAGUUAUUCAACACAGUCACAAUACUUUAUUUUAAUCUUAAUUUCUUAUGUUUCUACGUUUAGCUUGGUCAUAUGUGUAGCCUGAACAUUUAUUGUACUUUAGGUAAUUUAGACUUAUUAUGACUCCUUAAUUAUUAUUAUAUUAUA